GGGGAGGGAGGACUGACUCUUUGCAUGUAGCCUGUGUGUGUAAUGGUCUCUUGUUGUUUUAUAAGGAGAAAGAGACAGCAAAAAGAGCAUUGUAUGGAUGUACCUGCUCAAAGUGUCCUCAAAUGGAGCAGUUUAUUGAGUGAGAUGCUGUCAUUUCAACUUCUUGCAAACUCCCAAAACAUUUUGCUUCCACGCCAACUAAAAGAAAAACAAUAGUCCCUGCUCUGAGAAAGGACCGGCACAUCUCAGAUGUGCUGGAACGGCUGUCACUGGGCAGACACGCCGUUGCAGAACGUCCUGUUCGGCUGCAUGUAUCUUGUGCAUAAAUGGAUGUUCCUUCACCUCCAGGUACCUCUGUGCUACUGUUAUUCCCAAACGCCUUGGAGCACAGGCAGAAAUCUUCUCUCCAGCUGAUGCAAUUCUGGAUGAGCAGUGAGGAAGAAACACAUACCAGAUUUACAAGGGUAUUCCUGGAUCUGCUCAGUCCCUUUUGAGAGAGGCUUGGGGUGCAAGCAUGUCUGCUGCUAAUAAGCUUGUGAACUAAAGACAAAGGAAAGAAUAAUUGAAGAAUGACUCCUGCAGAGUCUGCGGAAAGGGGCAGAUGCAAAGCUGGAGUCUCUCAUCUUGUGAACCUUUGGGAACAAAGAAAGGAUCUGAAGGACAUCUGAUUCUGUGCCAUCCAAAUCUAGUGGCUGCUCACUGUUGGUGUAGAUAUGAAGAUGUGGUGCUUGUACACCUCGGGACAUCACGCCUAUGCUACGUACUUCAGCUGCCUGGAAGCACUAAUUGCGCAGCUGGCUGAGAGCAUGCAAGAAUGGCAGCACUAGCGGUGGAAGGGAAACCCAGAUCUCCCAAGUACCACACUAGCAGCUCCUUCAAGGGGUACCCUUCUGGUUGCUGUGUGAUGCUCAGCUCUUCUGUCCCUGAAGUAGAGCCUGUGCUGGGGCCAAUGCUUGCUGCAGCUGAUGGAGAAAGCCCCAGUGUUCUGGAGGCUUCCUGCCCUCACCACCCAGCACGAGAACCUGCAGCCUGGGCGGCACCUCUCCUGCUCGGGAGAAGGGUGCUGCACUCACAACCUCUCUUCAGCUUCCUUGCCUCUCCAUGGGGACUCUGCAUGAGAGGGGAAUGCAAGAAAACCCAAACCUGAGGUCUUUAAACCAAAAUUGUGUGCGAGGAUCUAAACACAUGAGGAUUCCUGUUGCAAAAUUGAGGAUUUCUGUUACAUUCCUUUGUGAAUCCUAAUAUGCCUGGAAAUUAUGAAUCAUAACAAGUCACGCUGCCAAGUACAAGAAGGAUUAUACGAUCUGUGAUCCAGUAACUCCCAGCUGCUUAGUCAUCUGUGGUAGGUUUUGAGCAUGUCACACAACAGAUAACAUAAGUGACUUUUUAAUGUGACACCACAAAAGAGGUUUAUUUCAUAGGUGUUUCCUCACUCUGCUUGGCCAGAGCAUCCUUGCCAGCAGCAGUACCUCCCGGCCUGGCCAAAGCAGGCAGGAUUGUUGUCUCAUGAGCGGUCACAUCCCAGAAGAUUUUCCCAUUGGGAUUUCUGCGGUGGUUUCAACAGCAAGGGAAGGAACUGAGGCUGAGUUGUGCAAGAGGCUGUUGUUACACGGAUGUCCAUAGAUGCACAGAAGCCCGUGUGGCCUCCAAAGGAGGCUGAGGAGGUUUCAUUCUCCUGCUGUUCCAGAGGAGACUCCGUGUGCAUGUGACUGUAAUCUAGCGCUGUGUUGCAUGGGCUGCAUAGUGUCAGAGCUAGCAAACUCAUGCCAUUUGCACAUCUUUCCUCCAUCAACCCCAAAUAAACGCUCUUCCCUCAUGAAGAGCCUGGCUCCAUAACGAAGAUAUGUGCUGUCCCCCCACUGGCAGUGACAGUCCCUUCCAGCUGCCACCCCGUACCCUGUGAGCAGCUGAAGGGUGUGCAACCAGCACA